rnacentral:rRNA from 1 species
UAACGUUACCAAACUGUUGCCUCGGCGGGAUCUUCUGCCCCGGGUGCGUCGCAGCCCCGGACCAAGGCGCCCGCCGGAGGAAUCAACCAAAACUCUUAUUGUAUACCCCCUCGCGGGUUUUUUUUAUAAUCUGAGCCUUCUCGGCGCCUCUCGUAGGCGUUUCGAAAAUGAAUCAAAACUUUCAACAACGGAUCUCUUGGUUCUGGCAUCGAUGAAGAACGCAGCGAAAUGCGAUAAGUAAUGUGAAUUGCAGAAUUCAGUGAAUCAUCGAAUCUUUGAACGCACAUUGCGCCCGCCAGUAUUCUGGCGGGCAUGCCUGUCCGAGCGUCAUUUCAACCCUCGAACCCCUCCGGGGGGUCGGCGUUGGGGAUCGGCCUUCCUUCACGGGGGCCGUCUCCGAAAUACAGUGGCGGUCUCGCCGCAGCCUCUCCUGCGCAGUAGUUUGCACACUCGCAUCGGGAGCGCGGCGCGUCCACAGCCGUUAAACACCCAACUUUCUGAAAUGUUGACCUCGGAUCAGGUAGGAAUACCCGCUGACCUU